CAAACGGCUCUUUUAAGAGCCACACAUCCACUGCAGAGCAAUCCU
rfam:Tetraodon nigroviridis chromosome 7 SCAF14536, whole genome shotgun sequence.